UUAAAUUACGAGUUUUUAACCUCUCCGCCCGCAAGGCCGAGCGCCCGACCGACCGCUUCCGAGAGGGUCAUCCCUCGCUUUCCGAUGCGAGGUCCCCCCAUCGCCGGCAAGGCCCCUCCGGCGGCGUAGAAAGCCGGAGAAUCACUCGUACCGGCGCCCUAAGAGGCAGCACUCCGUCUCUCACGCCUCCGUGUGUCCCCACCAUCCUUCUCUUCGGCCAUGUUAAACUUUGUCGAGUUUGAGACUGGCUUUGGCGAUUCCGCGAGAUGGAUUCUGGAUUAAAGAAUUGACCUGGAUUCGAGAUUUUGGGCCAAAUUUCGUUCUUGGGUCUUGAAUGGGAACAAACUCAGCAAAGAGAUGGAUUUCAACUGCAAACGCUUGCACAGAAGAUUCUACGAAAUGGACGAAAAGUCUCCUAAUGCCCAACGUAUGUAAUCAUUGACACAAGAGACAAUGCCAUUACGAUUAGUGCUAUCGUGCGAGGGACAUUACAGUGGUGCUUGAGCCCCAGAAGCUAGAUGAUUGGCCUGGUACAGCUGCCUGUAAAUGAAGUCAAAUGCAGCAGGUAAAAGGCUUACUUGUUAAAGAAGUCAAACAUUUGCCAAUUGUUAGGUGAAAUGAGCAUACUCAUGCUUACCUAAAGUUGGAUGAUCAAAUGAGGUAUUAGCUCCUUUGCUUUCUUUGCAUUCCAUUUGUGAUAAAUGUAUCUAUGGACAUAUGCUCUUGCAGUAAUGAAUGCGAAAAAGACUGUGUUCUGUUUGCUCUGACA